AUGGCCGCCAUAGGCGCCUUCUUCUCGGGACAGGUCAACCGCGUCAAGGACGUGGCCAACCAGCAGCAGGCGCUGACCAGGCGCCAAUCCGCCUCGGGCCAGGACUUCCCGGGGUCGGAGCACCGCCCGGCCGACCGCAAGACGUGGAUGGCGGAGCUGGGGCCGGAGCGGCUGCGCGUGCACCAGGUGGUGUGGCCAGGCACCCACAACUCCGCCACCGCCGAGAUCGGCGUCCCCUUCGUCACCCGCCCCUUCGCGCAGUGCCAGUCGCUCUCCGUCUACCACCAGCUCGCCACGGGCUGCCGCCUCCUCGACGUCCGCGUGCAGAAGGACCGCCGCGUCUGCCACGGCCCGCUCGUCGCGAGCUACACCGUCGACGUCGUCAUCGACGACGUGCGGCGCUUCCUGUCCGAGACCGCCUCAGAGGUGCUCGUCCUCGAGGUGCGCACCGAGUUCGGCCACGAGGACCCGCCGGAGUUCGCCAAGUACCUCGUGGAGCGGCUGGGCGAGCACCUGAUCCCGCAGGACGAGGCAGUGUUCCGCAAGACCAUAGCCGAGCUGCUGCCGCGGCGGGUGAUCUGCGUGUGGAAGCCGCGCAACUCGCCGGCGCCGGCGCGCGGCGGGCCGCUGUGGAGCGGCGGGUACCUGAGGGACAACUGGAUCAACACGGACCUGCCGGAGAAGAAGUUCGACGGCAACCUCGCGUCCCUCGCGCAGCAGCCCGACCCGGCGGCCGCACGGAGGUUCCUCUACCGGGUGGAGAACACGCUGACGCCGCAGACCGACAACCCGGUGCUGCUCGUCGAGCCGGUCACGCGGCGCAUCCACCGCUUCGCGCGCUUCUUCAUCGCCCAGGCCUUCGCCAGGGGCCUCGGCGGCAAGCUGCAGGUCUUCUCCACCGACUUCAUCGACGGCGACUUCGUCGACGCCUGCGCCGGCGUCACCAAGGCCCGCGUCGACGGCGCCGCGUGA
rnacentral:rRNA from 1 species